AACAGACGGAAGAUGUGAGGAGGAAGAACACUGCGAGACGACGAGAAGGGGACGGGAGGAAAGCAUUAUGGCUGGAAAUAGGAAUGGAGACAGAAUGGUGAUGAGAGCUGUGAUUGAUCAGCUUUUCCAGGAGGAAAUGAGAGGGCAUCUCUCAGAGGCCUGUUAAAACAGCCAGUUGUUCCAGGACAGCCUUUCACGUGACGGGCCAACCUACGUUGCAAACCCAAACGACAUCGCACUGGGAGCGGGUGAUGGAGCUCGCUGCCAAACUCCAGGCCACCUACUCUCUCCACACUGGGCCGCAGCACACCACCUUCCGUGCGCGGGCCGCUGCGACCUCCCGACCCCGCUGGGCCGCAGUGCACCUCCUUCUGCGCUGGGCUGCAGCAACCUCCUGAUCCAGCUCCACGACUCCUGCCCCCGGCGCCACUGUGCCCAGAUUCCCGUGUCCCGCAGCCGGCGCCUCCGGCUUCCCGUGUUCUGCAGCCGGCGCCUCCGGCUUCCCGUGUUCUGCAGCCGGCGCCCUCGGCUUCCCGUGUCCUGCAGCCGGCGACUCCGGCAAACUGACCGACCUCCGGGCCGACCCCCAUAGGCUCCCCGGCCAACUGGCCGUUCGCCGGGCCGCCCGCCGGAGUUCCCUGGAUGGCCCGACCCUCGUCUCCUGGUCCCCUCCCUCCCGCCCCUUGUCUGCUCUCUACUGGUUCCGCCUGCCCUUUAGCACCAUCUGGAAUUUGGCCCAUGAGGGGGGGGGGUUCUGUCACAAUUUGGGUUCAGGCAUUUUUUUUU
ensembl:lncRNA